UACGUAGGGCGCAAGCGUUGUCCGGAAUUACUGGGCGUAAAGCGUGCGCAGGCGGUUCUCCAAGUCCGUUGUGAAAGCCCCGGGCUCAACCUGGGAAUGGCAGUGGAAACUAGGGGACUGGAAUCUGGCAGAGGGGGGUGGAAUGCCGCGUGUAGCAGUGAAAUGCGUAGAGAUGCGGCGGAACACCGAUGGCGAAGGCAGCCCCCUGGGCUGAGAUUGACGCUGAGGCGCGACAGCGUGGGGAGCAAACAGG
rnacentral:rRNA from 1 species